GCGGGUGUAGCUCAAUUGGCCAGAGCAUUGGCUUGUCGAGCCAAGGGUUGCGAGUUCGAGUCUCGUCACCCGCGCAA
rnacentral:tRNA from 1 species